GGAAGCGUGGCCGAGCGGUUGAAGGCACCAGUCUUGAAAACUGGCGAGGGUGUGAGCCCUUCGUGAGUUCGAAUCUCACCGCUUCCGCCA
rnacentral:tRNA from 1 species